rnacentral:rRNA from 1 species
CCUACGGGAGGCAGCAGUGGGGAAUAUUGCACAAUGGGCGAAAGCCUGAUGCAGCAACGCCGCGUGAGUGAUGAAGGCCUUCGGGUCGUAAAACUCUGUUCUCCAGGAAGAUAAUGACGGUACUUGAGGAGGAAGCCCCGGCUAACUACGUGCCAGCAGCCGCGGUAAUAGGUAGGGGGCUAGCGUUAACCGGAUUUACUGGGCGUAUAGGGUGCGUAGGCGGUCGUUAAAGGCAGGGGUGAAGGGCUACGGCUCAACCGUAGUAAGCUCUUGAAACUGGGAGACUUGAGUGCAGGAGAGGAGAGUGGAAUUCCUGGUGUAGCGGUGAAAUGCGUAGAUAUUAGGAAGAACACCGGUUGCGAAGGCAGCUCUCGGGACUGUAACUGACGCUGAGGCACGAAAGCGUGGGGAGCAAACAGGAUUAGAUACCCUUGUAGUC